rnacentral:rRNA from 1 species
GUGCCAGCAGCCGCGGUAAUACAGAGGGUGCAAACGUUGUUCGGAAUUACUGGGCAUAAAGCGCGCGUAGGCGGCCAUGUAAGUGUGGAGUGAAAUCCCACGGCUCAACCGUGGAAUUGCUUGGCAGACUGCAUGGCUCGAGGACGGUAGGGGAGAGCGGAACUCCUGGUGGAGCGGUGAAAUGCGUAGAUAUCAGGAGGAACACCGGUGGCGAAGGCGGCUCUCUGGUCCGUUUCUGACGCUGAGGUGCGAAAGCCAGGGUAGCGAACGGGAUUAGAAACCCGCGUAGUCC